GAUGAAGAACGUAGCGAAAUGCGAUAAGUAGUGUGAAUUGCAGAAUUCAGUGAAUCAUCGAAUCUUUGAACGCACAUUGCGCCCCUUGGUAUUCCAUGGGGCAUGCCUGUUCGAGCGUCAUUUGUACCUUCAAGCUUUGCUUGGUGUUGGGUGUUUGUCCCGAGGGACUCGCCUUAAAGUAAUUGGCAGCCAGUGUUUGGUUUUGAGGCGCAGCACAAGUCGCGAUUCAAGGCUACACGCCCGCUUCCACAAGCCUUUUUUCACUUUUGACCUCGGAUCAGGUAGGGAUACCCGCUGAACUUAAGCAUAUCAAUAAGCGGAGGA
rnacentral:misc_RNA from 1 species